AUUGAACGCUGGCGGCAGGCUUAACACAUGCAAGUCGAGCGGAGAUGAGGUGCUUGCACCUUAUCUUAGCGGCGGACGGGUGAGUAAUGCUUAGGAAUCUGCCUAUUAGUGGGGGACAACAUUCCGAAAGGAAUGCUAAUACCGCAUACGUCCUACGGGAGAAAGCAGGGGAUCUUCGGACCUUGCGCUAAUAGAUGAGCCUAAGUCGGAUUAGCUAGUUGGUGGGGUAAAGGCCUACCAAGGCGACGAUCUGUAGCGGGUCUGAGAGGAUGAUCCGCAACACUGGGACUGAGACACGGCCCAGACUCCUGCGGGAGGCAGCAGUGGGGAAUAUUGGACAAUGGGGGGAACCCUGAUCCAGCCAUGCCGCGUGUGUGAAGAAGGCCUUAUGGUUGUAAAGCACUUUAAGCGAGGAGGAGGCUACUGAGACUAAUACUCUUGGAUAGUGGACGUUACUCGCAGAAUAAGCACCGGCUAACUCUGUGCCAGCCGCCGCCGUAAUAC
rnacentral:rRNA from 1 species